rnacentral:rRNA from 1 species
AACGAACGCUGGCGGCAGGCCUAAUACAUGCAAGUCGAACGCCGUAGCAAUACGGAGUGGCAGACGGGUGAGUAACGCGUGGGAACCUUCCUAAUGGUACGGAAUAGCCCGGGGAAACCCGGAGUAAUACCGUAUAAGCCCGUAAGGGGAAAGAUUUAUCGCCAUUAGAUGGGCCCGCGUCGGAUUAGCUAGUUGGUAGGGUAACGGCCUACCAAGGCUACGAUCCGUAGCUGGUCUGAGAGGAUGAUCAGCCACACUGGGACUGAGACACGGCCCAGACUCCUACGGGAGGCAGCAGUAGGGAAUAUUGGACAAUGGGCGAAAGCCUGAUCCAGCCAUGCCGCGUGAGUGAUGAAGGCC